rnacentral:rRNA from 1 species
GAUGAACGCUGGCGGCGUGCCUAAUACAUGCAAGUCGAGCGAACGGACGAGAAGCUUGCUUUUCUGAUGUUAGCAGCGGACGGGUGAGUAACACGUGGAUAACCUACCUAUAAGACUGGGAUAACUUCGGGAAACCGGAGCUAAUACCGGAUAAUAUUUUGAACCGCAUGGUUCAAAAGUGAAAGACGGUCUUGCUGUCACUUAUAGAUGGAUCCGCGCUGCAUUAGCUAGUUGGUAAGGUAACGGCUUACCAAGGCAACGAUGCAUAGCCGACCUGAGAGGGGGAUGGGCCAAACUGGAACUGAGACACGGUCCAGACUCCUACGGGAGGCAGCAGUAGGGAAUCUUCCGCAAAGGGCGAAAGCCUGACGGAGCAACGCCGCGUGAGUGAUGAAGGUCUUCGGAUCGUAAAACUCUGUUAUUAGGGAAGAACAUAUGUGUAAGUAACUGUGCACAUCUUGACGGUACCUAAUCAGAAAGCCACGGCUAACUACGUG